CCGCCCAAAUACUCUGUGCUCUCUCCCUCUCCCACUCCCACUCCCACCUAUCCACGUCUCCUCCCUAUUCUCUCUUUAUCUCUCUCUCUCCCUCCCUCUCUGUUCUUCUUCUUUCCUAUCCUCCCUCUUCACUCCCGACGCUGCUUUCUAGUCCUCGAUUUCUACCUCUCGUCUUCUUUCUCUAUCGGGUUGUGUCUCAAACUCGGCUUGCAAGGUUUCUAAUUCAACCCACCUCUGACAAUAGCAAGGUUAGGGCUUUGCUCUUCUUUCUUCAAAAUUCUUCUUCUAUUUUUCUUUUUUCAUCCAAUUUUGUAUGUUGCUCAAUUUCAUUUACUUGGGCCAUGUGUGGUAAUGUUUGUUGUUGACCACCGCACAACAAACCAUCUCUGCCAAUACCAAGGGCAUAUAUGGGAAGAAGUGAGGGAAUUCAAGAACACAGUUUAUAAGCAAAACCAUGUGAACACAGUUUGCAUGUCAUCCAUAACUUCUCUGGAAUGCUUCUU